rnacentral:ncRNA from 1 species
UACCUGGUUGAUCCUGCCAGUAGUCAUAUGCUUGUCUCAAAGAUUAAGCCAUGCAAGUCUAAGUACGAGCUCUCGUACAGUGAAACUGCGAAUGGCUCAUUAAAUCAGUUAUGGUUCAUUUGAUCGUACAGUUUACUUGGAUAACUGUGGUAAUUCUAGAGCUAAUACAUGCGAGAAGCGCCGACCUCGCGGGAGGCGUGCAUUUAUCAGACCAAAAACCGGCCGCGUCUUCGGGCGCGUUCGCCUUGGUGACUCUGGAUAACUUUGCGGAUCGCACGGUCUAGCACCGGCGACGGAUCAUUCAAGUGUCUGCCCUAUCAACUUUCGUCGGUACGGUAUUUGCCUACCGAGGUUCUUACGGGUGACGGGGAAUCAGGGUUCGAUUCCGGAGAGGGAGCCUGAGAAACGGCUACCACAUCCAAGGAAGGCAGCAGGCGCGCAAAUUACCCAUUCCCGACGCGGGGAGGUAGUGACGAAAAAUAACAAUGCAGGACUCGUUCGAGGCCCUGUAAUUGGAAUGAGUACACUUUAAAAGCUUUAACGAGUAUCCAUUGGAGGGCAAGUCUGGUGCCAGCAGCCGCGGUAAUUCCAGCUCCAAAAGUAUAUAUUUAAGUUGUUGCGGUUAAAAAGCUCGUAGUUGGAUUUUGGGCGCAGGCGGCCGGUCCGUCGCAAAGCGUGUACUGGACGUCCUGGCCUUCCCUCCGGUUCUCCGCCGGUGCUCUUGACUGAGUGUCGGCGGCGGCCGGAACGUUUACUUUGAAAAA